CUGCGAAUGGCUCAUUAAAUCAGUUAUCGUUUAUUUGAUAGUACCUUACUACUUGGAUAACCGUGGUAAUUCUAGAGCUAAUACAUGCUAAAAACCUCGACUUCGGAAGGGGUGUAUUUAUUAGAUAAAAAACCAAUGCCCUUCGGGGCUCUUUGGUGAUUCAUAAUAACUUAACGAAUCGCAUGGCCUUGUGCCGGCGAUGGUUCAUUCAAAUUUCUGCCCUAUCAACUUUCGAUGAUAAUGUAUUGGAUUAUCAUGGUUUCAACGGGUAACGGGGAAUUAGGGUUCUAUUCCGGAGAGGGAGCCUGAGAAACGGCUACCACAUCCAAGGAAGGCAGCAGGCGCGCAAAUUACCCAAUCCCGACACGGGGAGGUAGUGACAAUAAAUACUGAUACAGGGCUCUUUUGGGUCUUGUAAUUGGAAUGAGUACAAUUUAAAUCCCUUAACGAGGAACAAUUGGAGGGCAAGUCUGGUGCCAGCAGCCGCGGUAAUUCCAGCUCCAAUAGCGUAUAUUAAAGUUGUUGCAGUUAAAAAGCUCGUAGUUGAACCUUGGGCCUGGCUGGCCGGUCCGCCUCACCGCGUGCACUGGUCCGGCCGGGCCUUUCCUUCUGGGGAACCGCAUGCCCUUCACUGGGUGUGUCGGGGAUCCAGGACUUUUACUUUGAAAAAAUUAGAGUGUUCAAAGCAGGCCUAUGCUCGAAUACAUUAGCAUGGAAUAAUAGAAUAGGACGUGUGGUUCUAUUUUGUUGGUUUCUAGGACCGCCGUAAUGAUUAAUAGGGAUAGUCGGGGGCAUCAGUAUUCAAUUGUCAGAGGUGAAAUUCUUGGAUUUAUUGAAGACUAACUACUGCGAAAGCAUUUGCCAAGGAUGUUUUCAUUAAUCAGUGAACGAAAGUUAGGGGAUCGAAGACGAUCAGAUACCGUCGUAGUCUUAACCAUAAACUAUGCCGACUAGGGAUCGGGCGAUGUUAUCUUUUUGACUCGCUCGGCACCUUACGAGAAAUCAAA
rnacentral:rRNA from 1 species